AGCCAGUAAUCGUACGGGUGUGAGCAGAGCCCGAGUGGAUYUGAGACACGAAUCCAGGCCCUACGGGCGCAGCAGGCSSGAAAACUUUACAAUGCGGSCACCGKGAUAAGGRACCUCGAGUGCCUGUAAUGCAGGCUGUUUAGGUKUUAAAACGCACCUGGARAAAGGSCCGGGCAAGACCGGUGCCAGCCGCCGCGGUAAUACCGGCGGCUCGAGUKGUGSCCACUUUUAUUGGGCUUAAAGCGUUCGUAGCUGGGUUGUUAAGUCUCUUGGGAAAUCUGGCGGCUUAACCGUCAGGCGUCUAAGGGAUACUGGCAAUCUUGGAACCGGGAGAGGUGAGGGGUACUUCGGGGGUAGGAGUGAAAUCCUGUAAUCCUCGAGGGACCACCUGUGGMRAAGRMRCCUCACCAGAACGGCUUCGACAGUGAGGGACGAAAGCUGGGGGAGCAAACCGGAUUAGAUACCCGGGUAGUCCCAGCCGUAAACUAUGCGCGUUAGGUGUAUCGGUGACCACGAGUUACCGAGGUGCCGAAGGGAAACCGUGAAACGUGCCGCCUGGGAAGUACGGUCGCAAGGCUGAAACUUAAAGGAAUUGGCGGGGGAG
rnacentral:rRNA from 1 species